UGCCUUAAUCCACUUGGCUACGUCCGCC
rnacentral:tRNA from 2 species